rnacentral:rRNA from 1 species
GACGAACGCUGGCGGCGUGCCUAACACAUGCAAGUCGAACGGAGUUAAACGCUGAUUUGAAGAUAGCUUGCUAUAAGAUUUUCUUGUUUAACUUAGUGGCGGACGGGUGAGUAACGCGUGAGCAACCUGCCUUACAGAGGGGGACAACAGUUGGAAACGACUGCUAAUACCCGCAUAAGUGUGGAGAGAGGACAUCCUCUUUUCACCAAAGGAGCAAUCCGCUGUAAGAUGGGCUCGCGUCCGAUUAGCCCAGUUGGCGGGGUAACGGCCCACCAAAGCGACGAUCGGUAGCCGGACUGAGAGGUUGAACGGCCACAUUGGG